rnacentral:rRNA from 1 species
GUUACUGCUAUCGGAGUUCGAUUAAGCCAUGCGAGUCUAAAGGUUUCUUCGGAAGCCUUGGCGGAUUGCUCAGUAACACGUGGAUAACCUGCCCUUAGGUCUGGCAUAACCCCGGGAAACUGGGGAUAAUACCGGAUAGAUCAGGGGUCGCUGGAAUGCGCCCUGAUCCAAAGCUCCGGCGCCUAAGGAUGGGUCUGCGACCUAUCAGGUUGUAGUGGGUGUAAUGUACCUACUAGCCGACGACGGGUACGGGUUGUGAGAGCAAGAGCCCGGAGAUGGAUUCUGAGACACGAAUCCAGGCCCUACGGGGUGCAGCAGGCGCGAAACCUUUACAAUGUGCGAAAGCAUGAUAAGGGAACUCCGAGUGCCAGCAUUAAAUGUUGGCUGUCCUUGUGCCUAAAACGCACAAGAUAGCAAGGGCCGGGUAAGACCGGUGCCAGCCGCCGCGGUAACACCGGCGGCCCGAGUGGUAGCCGCUAUUAUUGGGUCUAAAGGGUCCGUCGCCGGUUUGAUAAGUCCUCUGGGAAAUCUGAUUGCUCAACAAUCAGGCUGCCAAGGGAUACUGUCAAACUUGAGACCGGGAGAGGUAAGAGGUACUUCAGGGGUAGGAGUGAAAUCUUAUAAUCCUUGGGGGACCGUCUGUGGCGAAGGCGUCUUACCAGAACGGGUCUGACGGUGAGGGACGAAAGCUGGGGGCGCGAACCGGAUUAGAUACCCGGGUAGUCCCAGCCGUAAACGAUGCUCGCUAUGUGUCAGAUACGGUGCGACCGUAUCUGGUGCCGUAGGGAAGCCGUGAAGCGAGCCACCUGGGAAGUACGGCCGCAAGGCUGAAACUUAAAGGAAUUGGCGGGGGAGCACUACAACGGGUGGAGCCUGCGGUUU